rnacentral:lncRNA from 1 species
GCAUCUUUUACACUUAAGUAUAUCUAACUCAAGCAUCGAGCAAUCAUAAGACUACACACAAGUCUUAAGCUCAUGGACUAGAGCACACUGCCAACGGACUAACACUAUUAUUAGCACUAAUGAACAACCCAUUAUUUAUAAUUAUAAGGACACAAGAACACUGGUAAAGCUAAUUCUAUGUUGUAAGUAUCAUGACCAAUGGGUUAUCAAUAAUUGAGUUACAUGAUCAUACCUAUAAAAACAAAACUAGUCAACUACAGUCACCAUUCUAUUCUACAGCAAAGAAGACAAUAAACCUAAUUGAGAACAUGCCCAAGGCAGUCAACACAACCAAACAUUUAUAACCCAUUGAUGAUUUUUGUUACACUAUAUUAGCCAAUACAAUUAGCUCAAUCCACUACAGCCAUAAUAGGUGCAGAUCUGAAAAUUAGCCGCCCAACUUCAUUUAUCAAGACAAGAACUAAUUAAAUCUAGGUGUCCAUACAAAAGAAACUCCAAGUAAUCAUUUUAAUACUUGCUUAUUUUGGACAACAAAACAUCAGCUAUUUGUUUAGCUCAUAACUCACAAAAUAUUCAUCCUAAAAUGAUAAAGUAGGACUUUCUGGAAAGCUUAUAAAGUCCUCUACACCUUUGGUAUUACCAUCACAACAAGAUUCGACCUUUAGAAAGGUCAAACAGAACUAAACAUAAACUCUGUCCAGAUUUGGACAGAAUUCGACUACUUACUUCAAAAAUUCAUAACUGGAGUUUCAGACAUCCAAAUAAGGUGAUCCUAGACUUUUUAGAAAGCUAGUAGAAUUUUCUACAAUUCAUUUAUAAACAUUUCAUGUUAAUUCCAUACAUAUCAAAGUCAGUCAAUACAAAGAGACUUCUCUGUCCAGAUUUGGACAGAUUCAAACUCUAUAGUUCAAACAGCUGUAACUUGGUCUCUAGACCACCAGAAAGGGUGCUCCAAAAUUUGUUGGAAAGCUUAAGACAAGUACUACAAUUCUUCUAUAAUUACUAAGGGCUGAUUCUCAGUUUAAUUUAUUUAAACAGGGCAAUUUUCGAAAUCAGUACAGCAUUUGGACAGAUUCUGAAACUGGACUUAGAAAAUUCAUAACUCCUAAACUAUUAGACCUAUGUCUGUCAAAUUUUAACACAAGCGAGAUAAUGGAGUUAUCUCCAACUUUUAUGUAUGACAACUUCUAUAGAAAAUAUAGUUUAGUUCAUUAAACAAUCAGCACGGUAAAAACAGUACAUGCAGUCCAAAAUAUCAACUAUCUUGUUUUAAUUUAUACUUAGCUCCUACACAUUAUUUGACUCGUUCUCUAAAUCAUCUCAUUAGAUUAACUUGCUUGACGCCUAAAUAAACAGCAUAUAGCAUAGAACUCUACAGUACAACUUGAACACCUAAGAACUUAAAGUACUCGCAUAUAUACCUCCUCGAAUUAUUCUCCGACUUCAACCGAAAUCGAAGCAUCGACACUACUUGCUUCCAAAUAAAUUUUUGGACAGCGACGACACUUGUAUAGGACCUCUAGCCGAUCAACACAACAUUUAACCACUCAAUGGCAUACAUAUUUAUCGACGCACUCUUCACACCAUAAACUACAUUUUAACUUAAUCCUUACUACCGAACGACACAUCUCCUUUAUUUUUCUCAUCACCCCACACAUACAAACACAUCAUCAACUAAAUCAAAUGAGUAAAAUACACAUCAAACAACCUGGCCGAUCGGAUUUGAGUUGUGCAUGUGCUGUCCAUGGACUUGGGAUUUUCGUCGAACACGCGAUGCACGAAGCACGACAUCGACAACGAGCUGCAAGCAACGACAUAUACUAGUUUUAAAAUUUUAUCAAACACAAGGGACUCAAGAGCAGCAAGGGCAGCGAGGUUUCACCGGAGUUUGUGACGUCGCGCAGGGGCUGUGCAGAUCAAGUUGGAGCUCGCUGCGGUAUUUCAUCGAACACGUCGAGGGCGCGACACGAUGGGGUUUCAUGGUUGCUGUUGUACCAUGACCGGGCAUGAGGAUAAUCUACACAGGGCCAAUCAGCAAGAUUCGAGCAGGGAUAGAUGGAGUAGAGUUAGCGCUUGACAAACCUAGGGCAGGAGCAACCGGCCAUCCAACGCAGGGGGCAGAGGUGAGCACCAGGGAGGGCAGCACGGCCAGCAUCCAUGGAAUAAGACUCAGCCACCAGGAAUAGGAAGGGGCAGCAGCUAGAGGAUGAGGGCGAGGGGAGAUAGGAGACGGGUGGCCCGACGACGUCCAUGGUUGGGGCAGAGCGAGCUUAGCGACGACGCACUGGCAAGAGGAGAUUGGGGAGCUCCUGCGCCAUGGGAGAUGGUGGUCGGCACUGGCGUUCAGGAGCAGUAGCGGCUGGUGGAGCAGCAUCUGCAUUUCCAGCAUUGGGGACUAGGGCGCCAGGGGAGGGGCGGCAUGGCGAACUGGAGACUGACAGUGGGGUUGAAGCCGUAUAGAGAACCGAUGGCGCUGGGGCAAGAUGGAGGACAAGCUCGGACGUGGAGGUAGCAGACAGGGCACGACCGGCACCUUCUGGAGAUGAAUUCGUGGGCACCGGUGAGAGGAUAAGGAGGACACGAUGCCUCCACACGUCAAAAUAAGAAUAGAGGGAGAGGACACGUAGAGGAUAAAGAAAAACUCAGAUUUUCUUUCUCUCUUUUCUAAACAAAUAUGCGUACACAAAUAAAGUUACAGAAAUUAGGUUUAAAAGAUAUAGAAAUGGUUCGCACCAACCCAAGAUCAACGAAAAUAUUUGGACAAGAUUUGAUUUGGUGAAUACUAUGGAGUCAAAUGAAUUCUUACCCAUAUUUGUAUUUGAAGAUUUGGAUCGAGAAGAGAAACACACGGACUGAACCAAACAAGAUCAGCUUCGAUAUUAUAGACGGUGCUUAAUUUGAUUUGAUUCGAAACCCGAUAAAUUUAAUCCAUAGUCUGAACACAGAAACAGAUUAAUUAUGAAUACUCAUUAUUGGCUCUAAUUAUCUCGGUCCGAUUAAAUUUUGCCUCACUUCCAUCGUCUAGUUCCAAUUAAUUUGUUCGGGAUAAAAAUCGUAAGAAUGGGUCGAGCUUCCGAAUUCGUAGUCUCUUAAUCCAUAAAUUUUAAACAGACACAAGACUCGAUAUUUAGCAAAAUAAAUACGCGAGAUCAAUGCGACAUAAAAAGUGUGAUCCUUUCGGAAGCGACCACACGCAUCGUUCACGUGGGCGAGAGGUUGUGCGCUGCCCAGACACCGGUUAACGCUCGCCACACGUCACAAUGCCAGGCCGCAGAGGUACGCGCACGACGCAGGCGUGAGGGAAUUAAAAAUAGAUUCUACAGAACCAGAUCCGAUUUCAAAGGGUAGAGUUUGGGCAAGACGUCGAUGGCUCAACCCAAACGAUACUGGAUUCGAUGUUUCGAAAGAUUACUGAAGUCUAAAUUUUUUGCAAAAUAAAUUAGGACAAUUUAAGCAGAUGGAGACAGACACGAUAUCAAAAUCGUGAUAGACGAGGAUGAUUAAAAUUUAGUGACCUUUACAUUCACAACUAUCACGUGUUAACGUCCGCGCUCGUAGUCGAGUAGACGAUAAACACCAGGGGUGUUACAACCCUCCCCCCUUAAAAGAAUCUCGUCCCGAGAUUCGGAGCGAAAGACUUUUAAGAGUAGAGCAGCAUCUAACCCUGUCCAUAUCAGCGAUAAUCAUAAGUCAGUUCCAAGCAAAGGCGAGUGUCUCAGGGUAUUAUUUCUCUAGUGGACAUAACAUGUAUCGCCUUAAGCUAACUUAGAAAUGUCCACCAAUAGAAAUGAUGUCUGCCAGAAGAACACAUAAGGUUCUAUGUGUGCAAUUUGCUUUUUCUGAUGAAACUGUACUAUCUGAGUCGGUUGAGCGGGCGAUAGAUAUGCGAAUUUACCCAAACAGAAUCAGAUGCACCAUCUUGGGUAAAACACAAAAAGAGGUUUACCAACAAGUGGUUAUGGUAAAUUCAUAGCACACGAGACGGGUGUGAAUAUCGAACAGCAUCACAGUUAACUCAUGUUAGCCAGAAAAUCCAAGUCCAAGAAAAAUGAUAGAGACUCGAAGAAUCGCCAACAAAAGGGAUCUGUAGAUGUUGCCUUCGUAACCAAUCCAUUUUAUUGAGCACUAAGCAUGACUCGACCUAAUCACUCAUGGUGGAAAAGCACACGUGAGACGAUCAAGGCACGAGUAGAGCGAUGAUUAGGUGGUUACUGGCCGACUUAAUCUCGAUUCUUGUAAGUACUUUCUUUAGGGUGGGUUGAACCAAAAUGAGUUCAGGCAAAUCGAUAAAACGAUCUCUAAACUCAAUAUUUGUUCAUUGGGCAGUUACAAGUUAGUCAAAACCAACUUGUUGUACCAUUUUUGACAUUGGGCAUGUCCUCUCAGUACCAUCGGUAAGCCAACGGUCGAGAGUUCACUCAUACUAACAGUUGAUCAUGCACUUGGGCAGAAAUCCAUUUGGUCAGGUUGUUCUUCCGUUUCGUCAUGCGAGAGGAACUGACUUAAUUCGGGAAUACAUGGAUUAAAUAGGAGAGUGAAUGAACAAACUCCUGCAUUUCAGCAGCAGGGAAAUCUAAUUUGAGAGCUAAUCAGUUGUUUUCUAACACUAAAAAGCUCCAAAGCUUCACCUUUACACAAAGGAUGUAAAGGGAACUUGUAUGAGUAGUCACUACCAAGAUCAAAAGAAAUAAGACCACACAUGAAAGUGGUAUGCCCUUUUGAUCCAACGGAGAUGACAAAUGUUGCUUGAUCACUUCACAAACAACAUAGAAACUGUUUCAAGGAAGGGGUCUACGAAAGAUAACAUAUUGAUAUAAUCUCAUAAUGGAUUAUGACUACUAACUGUGAUACUAGCGUGUGCCGAGUAGCGCAACCAUGUGCGUACACACAGAAGGCCCUCGGUUUCGUCACGGCACCACUGGUUUUAGUCAUAACACCAUUAUCAGACAUAACCAAUAAGAAAUCUCACGCGACACAAAUGAAUUGGGCAAGUGUUGGGUCUAUGCUUCGUCGCCGAAGGUCCUCAAAAACAGGAUUUAACAGUAUUUCUGGAGUAUAAUGUGUGAACAGGUAUCUUCGGAUCCAAGUCGGCGUCACGGCAGACCAGAGUAAUACGAAGGUUGAUACAACGCCGAAGGUGUACGCAGGAAAGCUUCGGCGCGACAACAAAAAGUGAAACCGACUUAAGGAUGAAAAGGCUAUUUAGACCUCGGCAGAUUACUAUAGAAUUAUUACCAAGUGUAAAGGGCAUGAAUGUAAUUUUGUAUGGGUUGUGUUCCGUGCCUAUAAAUAGAUGAACAGUACCCCCGCACUGUUCACGCUGACUUGGCAUUCGCUUUUUGCGUCACACUUGUACUUUCAUCUCCUUUCAAUCGGAGGUACACCUGUGAUUCAAUAAUGUUUUUGUUCAUGUUUGAUGAGUAAUAUAUAAUUAUUUAUGUUAUCUUUUAUAUCCUUUACAUUUUAUCCUACGUCGUUAUUUAAUGAACUUAUGAAGGUAAAAUCCUUCGUAACCUUCGUCCGAAGAUCAUUAUAUCCUUAGGGAAAUAAUGCUUCGAAGGACGAAGGAUUUUGAUGUUUAACAUUUUGUGUUGCCUUGUUCUUAAUUCAUAGCAUUUGAGAACAAGCCCCCAACAUUGGCGCCCACCUCCGGUGAACUCACUUCCACUUUUUGAGCUGAUGGCUUCGUUCAACGACCAAGCUGGCGCUGCUUCGGACUCGAAGCUGGUGCUCCCGAUCACAGGUGGCUCGUCCUCAGAGCCAGCUAACAAGAAACAAAAGAAGGAAGCACAGAGAAGGGUACAGCAUGUUGGGGUGCAAGGACCCUUCAUCAAGUCAAGAUGGUCUCACAUUCCUAUUACCUUCUCCCAAGAGGACCUUCAGCUCAAAGAUUACCCGCACAACGAUGCCAUGGUUAUCUCUUGUGUUAUCAAAGGAUUUCUGGUCCACAAUGUCUUGGUUGAUACAGGCAGUGCAGCUGACAUCAUAUUUGCUAAGGCCUUCAGACAAAUGCAAGAGCCAGAAGAUAAGAUUCAUGAUGCUACACAUCCUCUCUGUGGCUUCGGAGGAAGGCAGAUUGUAGCAUUGGGCAAGAUCACCAUGUCAGUGACCUUCGGGUUCAUCAACAACACUAGAACUGAGCAAGUUGUGUUUGACAUUGUUGACAUGGAAUACCCUUACAAUGCAAUUAUUGGUCGUGGUACCCUCAAUGCCUUCGAAGCAAUCCUUCAUCCUGCCUAUCUUUGCAUGAAGAUACCUUCGGAUCAGGGGCCCAUUGCUAUCCAUGGAAGUCAGGAAGCUGCAAGAAGGGCCGAAGGCAAUUGGACUGACUCAAAAGCAAUCCAUAGCAUAGAUGGAGCUGAAGCUUGUGAACAGUACAAAUUCAGAAGGGAGAAAGCAGCUUCAGCAGAUCAGCCGAAGCCUAUGCUCUUAUGUGAGGACAUAGCAGAGCAGAAGGUGCUGUUAGGCUCUCAAUUAUCCGAAGAGCAGGAGAAAACCUUGGUAAGGUUUUUGUUCAAUAACAAAGAUGUUUUUGCAUGGUCAGCCAAUGAUCUCUGUGGAGUUAAUAGAGAUGUUAUUGAGCACUCGCUCAAUGUCGAUCCAUCCUUUAGACCCAGAAAGCAAAGGCUUCGGAAAAUGUCAGAUGAUAAGGCCGAAGGUGCUCGCAACGAAGUCAAAAGACUCCUCAGUGCAGGAGUUAUCAGAGAAGUGAAGUACCCAGAAUGGCUAGCUAACACUGUUAUGGUAAAAAAGGCCAAUGGCAAGUGGCGAAUGUGCAUCGAUUUUACAGAUCUUAACAAGGCUUGUCCGAAGGAUGAAUUCCCAUUACCAAGGAUAGACUCUUUAGUUGAUGCAGCAGCUUCUUCAGAGCUCAUGAGUCUGUUAGACUGUUAUUCAGGCUACCACCAAAUUUGGAUGAAAAAGGAAGAUGAGCCGAAGACUAGCUUCAUAACUCCAAGUGGCACAUAUUGCUAUCUUCGGAUGCCUGAAGGGCUCAAAAACGCUGGAGGAAGUUUCAGCCGAAUGACUGCGAAGGUUCUCCAAUCUCAAAUAGGCAGAAAUGUGCUAACUUAUGUUGAUGACAUCAUUGUAAAAAGCACGAAGCAGGAGAAUCAUAUUGCUGACCUGCAGGAGACCUUCGCCAGUUUUAGGCAAGCUGGCUUAAAGUUAAAUCCAGAAAAAUGCGUCUUCGGAGUGAAGAAGGGGAAAUUUCUUGGAUGCUUGGUUUCAACAAAGGGAAUUGAAGCUAAUCCAAGUAAAAUUGAAGCUAUACUUCGGAUGGAGCCACCAACUACAAAGAAGGGGGCUCAAAGAUUGACGGGAAGAUUGGCAUCUCUCAAUAGAUUCAUAUCUAGAUCAGCAGAGAGAAACUUACCAUUCUUCGAAGUGCUGAAGUCAGCCGAAGUCUUUCAAUGGGGACCAAUCCAGCAGAAGGCUUUCGAAGAACUGAAACAGUAUUUGAUAGAUCUAACAACAUUGACUCCACCAAUGCCAGGGGCUCCUUUAUUGUUAUAUGUGGCAGCUUCGCACUCAGCGGUAAGUGCGGCGCUUGUCCAGGAGAAGAUUGAUGGUCAACUUAAGAGGCAGGCCCCAAUAUAUUUUGUUUCCGAGGUUCUUAGUUUAUCAAAGAAAAAUUAUACAGAGUUGGAGAAGGUACUGUAUGCUGUCUUGAUGGCCUCCAGGAAGCUUCGGCACUAUUUCCAAGCUUACAACAUAAUUGUUCCUUCUUCACAACCUCUGAAGGAUAUUAUGAGGAACCGAGAAGCUACUGGAAGGAUUGGAAAAUGGGCUGCAGAGCUCAAUGAAUUUUGUAUUGAAUAUGUUCAUAGAUCUUCGAUUCAGUCCCAGGCGUUGGCAGACUUCAUUGCUGACUGGACGCCAGGGGCUCAGGAGGAGGAAACGAAUAAAGACAACGAAGCCUGGACAAUGUUUUGUGAUGGAUCUUGGGGAACCUUCGGAGCAGGAGCGGCUGCUGUGUUAGUUUCACCUUCCAAAAUCAAAACUUGUUAUGCGGCUAAGCUUGAUUUUAGUUGCACAAAUAACAUUGCUGAGUACGAAGCAUUGGUUCUAGGCCUUCGGAAGUUAAAAGCAAUGGGAAUCAGAAGGGCCAUACUUAAAACUGAUUCCCAGGUUGUUUCGGGUCAUAUUGACAAGAGUUGCAAGGCUAAGGAUCCGAAGCUUGAAAAAUAUCUGGAUAUGGUUCGAAGAAUUGAAGCCUCCUUCGAAGGGUUUUCUAUCAAAAAUAUCCCUCGAGGACAAAAUGAGCAUGCUGAUUUGCUAGCUAAGUCAGCAGCACAGGGGCUGCCUUUACCUUCGGAUGUGUCCUUGAAAGAGCAGUCCUUAAUAUAUCUCCUGUUUUUAGCGAAGAUUGGAGAACUGAGAUCAUCUCUUACCUUCAGGGUAAAUUCCUUUCAGAUGACGAAGCCUAUAACAAGAGGAUAGAGGCAAGAGCUCGUCCAUAUGUCAUAAUAGAAGGGGAGUUGUACAAACAUGGAGUUUGUGCUCCGCUACUCAAAUGUUUAUCCAGAGCCGAAGGUAUAGAGUUAAUGAAAGAAAUACAUGCAGGCUUGUGUGGAUCUCACAUCGGAUCUAGGCCGUUACUUGGAAAAAUUUUCCGCCAAGGAUUUUAUUGGCCGAAGGCAGCUUCGGAUGCAGCAGAAUUGGUUCAAAAGUGCGAAGGUUGUCAGAAAUGUGCAAAAGAUCAAAAACAGCCUUCGUCUUUAACACAGCUCAUACAACCCACUUGGCCAUUGCAAAGGUGGGGCCUUGACUUGUUAGGUCCGUUACCACCGGCCCAAGGAAACCUGAGAUAUGUCAUAGUAGCUGUGGAAUAUUUUUCUAAAUGGAUUGAGGCGAAGCCUUUGGCCACAGUAACUUCGGCCACCGUCCAAAAGUUUUUCUGGCAGAAUAUUGUUUGUCGUUUCGGCGUGCCAAAGGCUAUAACUGUGGAUAAUGGGACACAGUUUGACUCCGAAGCUUUCAGGGAUUUCUGUGACCAAAUUGGUACGAAGAUCCAUUUUGCAUCAGUUAGGCACCCGGAGUCAAAUGGACUCGUUGAAAGAGCCAACGACAUUAUAAUGACAGGAAUAAUGAAGUUAAUCUUCAACCAACCCAGGGGAAAAUGGCCAGAUCAGUUAACCAAAGUGGUGUGGGGCCACAACACAACAACAUCAAGGUCUACAGGUUUUACUCCAUUUAAGUUGUUAUUCGGUGACGAAGCAAUAACUCCGGAGGAAGCUAAAGCCGGAUCAAUAAGGAUAUUAGCUUCGGCAGAAUCAGAUUCCGAAGCUACUUAUUCUAUAGAAAAAGAUGCUUUAGAAGGGAUCAGACUGCAAGCUGUGGAGAAUAUCAAUAAAUAUCAAGCCGAAACAGUCAAAUGGCGGGACAGAAAGGUUCGGCUAAAAAAUAUUGAGCCAGGGCACUUGGUGCUUCGGAGAGUGGCCAAUCCAGAAACAGUGGGCAAAUUGCAGUUGAAAUGGGACGGACCUUUCUUAGUAGCAUCUUCGUCAAGACCCGGUUCGUACAGAUUGAAGGAUAUGGACGGCAAUAACAUUCCUAGGUCUUGGAAUGCGAAUGAGCUUCGGCGAUAUUAUGUAUAACUUGAUGUAAUUUUUCAUAUUUUUUAUUUUUUCUUUCAUGGCACCCUUUUCCUUUCCAAAGGGGGAGAAAGGUUUUUAAUGGGGCCAGCAUAUGUAAUUUCCUUUUUUAGUUCUAUAAGAGCAAAAUCCCCCAAGGAAUGUAAAUGUAAAAGCUGAGAACGCACCAUCGAGUGCCAAAAGUAAAGGCGAAGAAGCUCCAAAGUCGUUCCUAAGGGAAUGCAGAGCUUACAGCGAAAAGUCAACGCUGAUUCCGCCAAAAGUAAAGGCGAAGAAGCUCCAAAGUCGUUCCUAAGGGAAUGCAGAGCUUACAGCGAAAAGUCAACGCUGAUUCCGCCAAAAGUAAAGGCGAAGAAGCUCCAAAGUCGUUCCUAAGGGAAUGCAGAGCUGAGGUGUGAUUGUUUUUAAGAAAAUAGUGGCUAUGAAUAUGGCUUCGGAUACGUGUUUGGCCAUUCAUUUGCACAUCACAUUACAUCAUAGCAUUUGCAUUCAUAAACAUUCAUCUAGGCAUCUGUAGGAUAAUCAUCUUCAUGACAUAAAUGGUUGUUUCGGCAAAAAGAAGAAAAGGAAGAGGAAGAAAGAGCUUCGUGUACAAAAAGGAAAGCUUUGCGGCGUACGAAAAGAAAAAAAAAUUGUUUUUUAUGCUUUGCGGCGUACGAAAAGAAGGGAAGGUGUUUUUUCGCCUUCGGCUCAAAAGAAAAUUUCGUCCACAUCAAAGCAUUUCUCAUACAUCAAUGGAAGGAUAAGGAUAUAUAACAAGUCUACUAUCUAAUCUCCAAGGAGCUUCGGCUUUGGCGUCAUUUUUGAGCUUCGGCUUCGGCUUCGUCAUCCUAUAAAAUUAAGGUCGUUUUAAGUCAAAAUCAAGUUUACAGGAAGAGGUAAGCACAAGGUAUGGUUCCUUACUGGUUCAAGAUGGCUACGAGCUUCGUCUCCAGCCUUUUCUCGCCCACCUUUUGUCCAUAUCAUUUUUACAAAUCUAUUCGAGAUACUCCGGGCGAGAUCAGGAAUAUCAUCCAGGAUUGAUGGUGAUAAGGUGAAAUUUGGCCUAUUGACAAUCUUUGCAUGAUCGCAGCCAGCCUUCAGGAAAGCUGCAGCAGUGCCUCGAGAAGCCACCCAGGCACAGAAGUCACCAUGCCCAGCUAUGACUUCGUCGAGCUCGUCAAUCUCCCCCUCAAUAUGUUCGAAGGUUUUCGGUAGAUCUUCAGCUGAGGGGGUGAAUUUUUCACUGCUGGCUCCAACUGAGUAAAAAAUCUUUCUUAAUCGUUGAAUGCAUUUAUUGCUAAAUUCCAAGCAUUUUUCUUGAAGACUUGUCAGUAGUUUUCUCAAAUCUGAAUUUUGUUGAGCUUCGGCUUCAAGUUUUGCAGUAAGCUCUAGCUUUUCUCGCUCGAACUGUUCAGACUGCCGGAGAAGCUUCGUGUUCAGUUCUGUUAUUUUUGCUUCAGCUUCCGCCAACGAACCUUCGGCUGCCUGGAGCUCAAAGUUCUUCUUCUCAAUAACAUCCAAUUGUUCCUUUAUUCUGUUUUCCAGAUUUUCAAUUAUAACUUCGUGCUUCUUAUCUUCAAAAUCUUGCUGCAUUUGCAAGGCUUUGCUCAACAACAUACUCUGUACAAGAACAACCUUCAUCAGGCAUGUUUCCAUUAUUAGAAACAAUAAGAGUUAAGGUAAAAGUAGUUCACCUUGAAGUUGGAGUAAAAUAAACUACCGACGAUAUGUUGUCGUCGGUAGCGGCUGAUGUCUGUUUCUAGCUUCGGAAAGCCGAUACUCUUGGACAGAGUACUGAUAACUUUGGCUCCUAUUUGAUCUCGAAUACAAUUCAAAUUUUCAUCAUCAACGCCUCCGAAGAGGAGUGCCCCAGGUUUGUAUCCACAGGAUUUAGCAUACUCUCUAAGCUCUUCUACUUCAGCUUUUGAUAGUUGUUCUCCAACUAAAUUCUGGAAUAUGAAGGCUUCGUUUUCUGAAGCUUCAUCAGCGAUUUCUUUUCCUUUCCCCAACGCUGCGGUCACGGUCUCUUCGGCGGCGGUCGUAGUCUCUUCUGCAGCCAUGUCUAGCAGUAUUUGGUCAAUGUGUUCAAUUGUGCUCUCCAGGUUCAAAUCUUCAGCUGAGGCAGCUUCAGCAGCUGCUGCCUCCGAAGGUGCAAUUUCAAUAUCUGUCCCCUCUGCAGCCGAUGGUAUUUUCUGGGCUGAAGCUCUUGGCGGCGUCUUGUCGAUCACCUCUGUCACGGUAAUAAUUCUUUGUUUCUUCGCCUUGAUUGUUUUCUUCGAUUUUUCGGGCUCCUUGUCCUUCUGAAAAAACUUUGUCAGUUGAGGGCCCAGUGGACUUAGCUUCGCAGGUAAGGAUUCGGUCAUUACCUUCAGAAUUUCCUCAACGACAGCAGCAGAAGGUGAUGCGGGGGUUUCUUCUGCUUCGGACAUUUGUUGCUUCGGAGAAGAAGCUUUCUUCUUCUUCGGAAUUUUCUUUUUUAAUGGUUCUUUUUCUUCAUUCAUGGCCUCAGUUAUCCUUUUUCUUUUUUGGCCCCCAGCACCCUUGUUCAGAUUUUCAUAAUCAGGGUAAUCAAAGCCCAAGGCGUCCAACACUCGAUUUAGCCUUCGCUUCGGACGGGUGCCGAAGGCUGCGGUCAUCAAUUGAUCUUCUUUUUUGGAAUAAUUGCCAAGUAUUUCAUUACACAUUGCUUCAAUCGUACCUAGCCACUCUUGGCAAGGUGCUUUAAAGUACUUCUUAAACUUGAAAUAGUAAGGUAAACGUACGAGUUCACCUUCUUUCUUUUCCCCCUGUAGCUUCGGCAUUUCCCAUUCUUUCAAAUUGGGAAAAACUUUGAAUGCUAAAAACUCUUGAACCAGGUCCCUUGUGCUGAUAUGCUCUGCAAUAAUUCUGAAUUCACUCAUUGCUUGUUGUGUUGGACCUUCGGGUGUCAUGUUGCAGCGAGGUCGGGUUUCUCCGAAGAUUAAUUCCAGCGGGCUUUGUACAAGCUUUUCCUUGUCGUCAUCAACCUUGACAUAGAACCACUCUGAUUUCCAGCCUGCUGCCCACUUGCUUCGGUAGCUAAUUACAGGAAACUUUGUAGUUUUCCGAUAGGCGAAGUUAUAGCAACCAAAAUUAUCGUGCAAUCCAUCUUUUCUAGCCUUUGUUUGAUAAUGCAACUCGUGAACCCGGCAGAAGCUGUCCGCAAAUGGUUCCACUGCUUGGCUUCGGAGUGCCCAGAUAUAAACAAUAAGCCUAACGAUAGCGUUAGGGGUCAGCUGAUGAAAAUAGAUACCGAACCUAUUUAGCACCUCUGCAAUGAUCCCAUGUAGGGGAACCUUAAUCCAGCCUUUAAAAAGCUCUUGAAAAUAACAAUUUCAUCUUUCUCCGGUUUUGGGGUAGUCUCUUCUCCCCCGAAGCGCAAAAGCUUCUUCUGAUUUUCAGUAAAAAAGCCCGAUUUUACCAUCUUGGACAGAUCAGCCUUCGAAACAGUAGAUUUCCCGAAGUCCAAGUGGCUCGGCUUGCUUGGCAUGGCAAUGCGAUAAUCAUCUUCGGAAUCAGUUUCCUCAAUAUCUUCUUCCUCUGCUUCAGCGUUUGCUUGUUCUGCUUGUUCUGCAUCAUUAUGAGGGAUCUUUUCCGAAAUCACUAGCCCCGAUCGUUGCAUGGCUUCGGAGAUAGGGAGAGUCUCCGAAGCUUCAGUUUCCUCCCCCUCGCGCUCAACCCUGGCGGUAGAGCGGACUCUGGCCAUUUAAAUAUGAACUUGUGAAACUUUAAUAUUUUCUUCCUCCGAAGCAGGUUUCAAACUGGAGCUUCGUUCGGUUUCGACAGACAAGCUUCGGCGAUGGUUGAAAAUUUUGGCAGGAAAACAGUGCAAAUAGCAAUGAAUGCUGUGGUAACUUCACACCUACUCGUCUGUUUAUAUAGUGCUGCAGGUAAGAAGGCGAAGCGCCAGAAUUUUUACACCAGGCGGACACCCGCUUGCGCUCGCUGCGCGGUGGACCGCAGGGACAAACAGUAAACUCUUCAACGUGGGACCGCUACGUGCUGGGAAAUUUAAUCGUUUCUCGGCAACGAGCUCAGGGAAGGUGUUUUUUGGACCUUCGGCUCCCCGAAGCUUAAGAGACUUUUUUCACGGAUCAAGCUCGUUACGAAAAACGAUCUAGCACCGCGAAAGGGGCUACUGUUGGGUCUAUGCUUCGUCGCCGAAGGUCCUCAAAAACAGGAUUUAACAGUAUUUCUGGAGUAUAAUGUGUGAACAGGUAUCUUCGGAUCCAAGUCGGCGUCACGGCAGACCAGAGUAAUACGAAGGUUGAUACAACGCCGAAGGUGUACGCAGGAAAGCUUCGGCGCGACAACAAAAAGUGAAACCGACUUAAGGAUGAAAAGGCUAUUUAGACCUCGGCAGAUUACUAUAGAAUUAUUACCAAGUGUAAAGGGCAUGAAUGUAAUUUUGUAUGGGUUGUGCUCCGUGCCUAUAAAUAGAUGAACAGUACCCCCGCACUGUUCACGCUGACUUGGCAUUCGCUUUUUGCGUCACACUUGUACUUUCAUCUCCUUUCAAUCGGAGGUACACCUGUGAUUCAAUAAUGUUUUUGUUCAUGUUUGAUGAGUAAUAUAUAAUUAUUUAUGUUAUCUUUUAUAUCCUUUACAUUUUAUCCUACGUCGUUAUUUAAUGAACUUAUGAAGGUAAAAUCCUUCGUAACCUUCGUCCGAAGAUCAUUAUAUCCUUAGGGAAAUAAUGCUUCGAAGGACGAAGGAUUUUGACGUUUAACAUUUUGUGUUGCCUUGUUCUUAAUUCAUAGCAUUUGAGAACAAGCCCCCAACAGCAAGGGUGACAAUAUACAAAGAGAUACUCCACCUGUAAGGAUGGUUACAAGUAAAGAGCCAAACAGAUCAUGGCCCGAUGAAAUGAACAAAGCAUGGCCAUAACCUAAAUUUGAUGAAAGGAGUACGACAGGAGACUGUUAAUUUGGCCCCAAACAUAUUUCUAUGCCCAUCGUAGAAAUCACAAGGUCAAGGAUCAGUAUCUAACUAGAUACAAGGGAAAACAAUCCAAAGAUUAAGUUGGUAUGCCUUCGAUAGAUAUGGGAAACCAAAGGCAUCAAAUUCUAGAAAAAUGGUUGGACAUGUCUUUCUUAGGUUGGGUUGAUAAAGCAACAUGGUGAUCCUUAAGAACAGGUGAACUGGAUAAGGUACAUCAGCUUGCACCAACUGAAUAAGGAUAUGGUUUAGGAUGGGGACAUGACUCGAGAUUCUUGGUUUAAGCCUAGGUACAAUUUAUGUCCAACAAAUAAAUUAUCUAAGCAUUUAUUUGCAUGAGUUGGGUCAUGGAGUGAAGACGGAAAAUUCAACUUUGGGUCAGGGUUCACUAACGAAGAACAUGGCCUAAUUUUCGGUUUAAGCAAGCAAACUACCAACCUUCUAUCAGCACAUCAAGUACCAGAGCAACACAUAUAUAACACCUAAAUAGGCUACCUAAAGAACGAAGAGUAGCUAUUUCACUGACGUUCAUAAUACCGCAUUACACCAUGUUAUCUACAAUCAUUGUUUACUGGAAUAAAGAUGAGAAAAGCAUUUUGGGUGUAUAGGUGACAAACAUGAUGCAACAAUCAGGAUGCAUGCUCGUCCUACACAUCCUCAUGAGUUUUACCAACAUACUGUGGCAAUAGCGUUCUAUAUCGGUGGCAUACUUACGACUCUCACGGUAUUUUGCUAGUCGUCAGCUAAACAUACGAGUUCGAAGUUAGUGUACCUGCAGAAAAUUUCAUCACAGCCUAGUUCCCAAUGAUGCAAUUCACACAUGACAAUUUAUCACAGUUUAUACUCCAUAUAUUUCUAUAUGGAGGCCAGCUCCUCAUUAAGCGCCGAGCCACGCAUAGGCGCCGUUGCCACACUUUAACCAUAGGGCAACUCAUUAUGGUAACUCACCUUCUUACCUGAGCGUAGGUGCGUCGUUACAAGUACAUUACACUUCUCAGUAUUCCCAUGUCUGUAUACCCAUACACAUCCAUGGGGUACUGAAUCCCGGAAAAGUAAUUACUCCACAUCGCAGCCUUCAUAUAUACAUAUGUGUAACAUGUAUAUAAUCAAGCGCCACAAUUAAGCACUCCCCUAAACCGACGUUUGUCUGGUCAUGCUCUCACAUCUCACCUUACCUUGAGCGUCGAUCCAUUCAAAACUGAAUGGCCUAAAAAAUAACAAUACACAUGUAUGCAAUUCCCUUCCCAGGUUGUGGGUUAGUAUUCUGAACUAAGCCACCUAGUAGUCCUUAAUUUAGGGCUUAACAGAGGAUGUCGCUAGCAUUAUAGUUUUUCAAAUCUGUUUUUUUUUCAAAACCAAACAAUGUAUUUAGUUGAAAAUAGGUUUUCGAAACCAAAACUUUGUUUUAAAAAUAUGUAUGUGACCGUAUUAUACUUAAUUCAGCUCCGAUACCAGCUGUCGCAGAACCUCCCAAGUUAUCGGGCUCACAUGCACCUGUCCUUGUCUCAAAGACCUCAUACAGCUAUGCAUGUGCACCAAAUAACUUAACAUGAUCUGUCCGAGUGCCCCGAGGACCCCGGAUAAACGACUUACCGCCAAGAUCGCAAGAUUAAGUAAACACAAAUCACACACCAAUAUUUGCAGCGGAAAUAAAUUAUUUAUUACAAAAUGGUUACAAGUUACAACAUUUACAAGUUAUAGCAAGAUUACAAUAUAUAUCAUCGGAGUUGGUUACAAAAGAAAUUGAUUCAAAAAGAUUACAAUUUGAAUGUAUAAAACAUUUAUAAGUUUUAAAAUACAUGCUAGCUUAAGUGACAAUCCUCAAUAAAGAAGCUAAAGAUGGGAUACACCUAUAUAAGAAGGUCGAGCCCACCGGCACUUAGCAGCAUCCACAACAGAACAAAAUUAUAACCUAAAAAACAACAGGAAAUAAAACCCUGAGUACGCAAUUACUCAGCAAGACUUACCCGACUAAAGAAAAGACUCUCAAGGGUAUGCUGGUUUAUUAGGAAUCAAGGUAAAGCUUAUCAAAUUUCAAAGACUCAUUUUGCAGAAGAGCUUACUAGUAGUGGAUCCUUAUGCCAAAAUUUUACUUUACAGGUUAAGUACUUUUCCUGAAUCUAGAUUUGCCUAAUCUAGAGCAUUCACUUGUCCUAUACUAGCUUUAUUUUAGCAGCUUUAGUUUCAGUUGUUAUCUACGAUGCAGGGCAGUGAUCCAGUCUUCAUAUCCGAGAAGUAACGACGAUCCGAAUCGAUUAAUACUCAGCUGAGGAUCUCCAACCACACGACAUAUGUAGCACUUAACCCUUGCAUAUGUCAACUCGCCCACGGGUUACUCAAGACCAGAACGGGUUCACGUGACCCGAGAGCACAACACUCCACCGUCCAGCCAUUGGCCUAGUUGGCACACGUUAUUCUCGCCAUGGUGCCCGCCAUGUUUCCGAGAGUACAGCACCCCACCUUCCAGUCUCUUGCCACAGAGGGUACAAGCUACUCUCGCCAUCUCUCCACUCCCAGUGCGUGCGAGCUGUUUUGGUAUUGGUCCGACCGAGGCAAAGCUUACCCAUGAUGAGGCAUGUGGCCAGUUAAAGGGUCCUAGAUCAGCAGGCCAACAAUCGGAACGGUCCUUAAUCGACACAGACGGGCGACCUUUCCUUCUCAACGUCUGGUCUCAUCUUAUUAUUUAAGACCCAAACCAUGUACCUGGCAGAGGUACAAUACUUGAAUAAUGAAUUCAUCAUCGCGAGUGAUGCCUUCAUUACUGCAAGUUUCUUUUUCAUAAAACCCAUAUCCAGUGUUACACAAUAUUCUUUUAAAAAGGAACAAGUUUUAAUUUUUUAGGCAGGGCUAAGCCUCAUUAGUUCUUUUUGUAAAACAGGUAUCAAGGAGGAUAAUCAAAUUCCAAGGAAUGGCAAUGCAUCAACUGUUUCAUCACUCAACUCCUAUCACCUAAUGCAGCAUAUAAGUGAUAAAAGUUUUAAAACAACAAGGAGGUGGCAAAUGCACCGGGGCUUGCCUGGGAUAAACACUACGUUAGUGUUGCUAAUUGACGACCACUUGGUGAGCGUCUUCCAUCCUGGCACUUGGUUGAUUCAUCCAUUUUAGCUUCGUCCAUCAGCAUCACUUGGAGAUCAAUUCCACUCGUCUUCCAUAGCACGUGAUCAAUUAACGUACCUAAAUGAUAUGUAUGAUGCACAUGAGCAUGAGCAUGAGCACGAAGAGCAUAAGAUAGAUAAUCUAUGUUAAAGAGGAUAAAUAUUUAAAACAAGUCAUCACAACACCUAGGAGCACACUAUGUGAAGAUAUUACUAAGUACCAUAAACGCAUCUUUUACACUUAAGUAUAUCUAACUCAAGCAUCGAGCAAUCAUAAGACUACACACAAGUCUUAAGCUCAUGGACUAGAGCACACUGCCAACGGACUAACACUAUUAUUAGCACUAAUGAACAACCCAUUAUUUAUAAUUAUAAGGACACAAGAACACUGGUAAAGCUAAUUCUAUGUUGUAAGUAUCAUGACCAAUGGGUUAUCAAUAAUUGAGUUACAUGAUCAUACCUAUAAAAACAAAACCAGUCAACUACAGUCACCAUUCUAUUCUACAGCAAAGAAGACAAUAAACCUAAUUGAGAACAUGCCCAAGGCAGUCAACACAACCAAACAUUAAUAACCCAUUGAUGAUUUUUGUUACACUAUAUUAGCCAAUACAAUUGGCUCAAUCCACUACAGCCAUAAUAGGUGCAGAUCUGAAAAUUAGCCGCCCAACUUCAUUUAUCAAGACAAGAACU